GAUGAACGCUGGCGGUAUGCUUAACACAUGCAAGUCGAACGGUCACUUCGGUGUUAGUGGCGGACGGGUGAGUAACGCGUGAGAAUCUGUCUUCAGGUCGGGGACAACAGUUAGAAAUUACUGCUAAUACCGGAUGUGCCUUUCGGUGAAAGAUUUAUUGCCUGAAAAAUGGCUCGCGUCAGAUUAGCUAGUAGGUGGUGUAAGUGACUACCUAGGCUCCGAUCUGUAGCUGGUCUGAGAGGACGAUCAGCCACACUGGAACUGAGACACGGUCCAGACUCCUACGGGAGGCAGCAGUGGGGAAUUUUGCGCAAUGGGCGAAAGCCUGACGGAGCAAUACCGCGUGAGGGACGAAGGCUUUUGGGUCGUAAACCUCUUUUCUCAAGGAAGAUGAUGACGGUACUUGAGGAAUAAGCAUCGGCUAACUCUGUG
rnacentral:rRNA from 1 species